GCUCGCUUAGCACAGUGGUAGUGCAUUGUACUUAUGAGGUUACCUCCGUUAUGCAAGGGUCCUGAGUUCGACCCUCAGAGUGAGCA